rnacentral:rRNA from 1 species
UACGUAGGGUGCAAGCGUUGUCCGGAAUUAUUGGGCGUAAAGAGCUCGUAGGCGGUCUGUCACGUCGGCUGUGAAAACCCGGGGCUCAACCCCGGGCCUGCAGUCGAUACGGGCAGACUAGAGUGCGGUAGGGGAGACUGGAAUUCCUGGUGUAGCGGUGGAAUGCGCAGAUAUCAGGAGGAACACCGGUGGCGAAGGCGGGUCUCUGGGCCGUAACUGACGCUGAGGAGCGAAAGCGUGGGGAGCGAACAGG